GUGUAAUUUCCCCUCAAAAGUCAAAUGUGUUAUGAAGUAAUUUUUACAAUACUUACAUUGAGUUCUCUAAGGUUUCUGAGAGCGGGUGGUGCACGCUUCUCCAUGAAGGAAAAGGGCCGUGCUCCAUGCCACCGUUUGUUUUAUCUGCGAAUGUUCUGCAGGGUCUUAUGAUUCUACCAUAAACAGGGAUCUGAGGAUCUGAAUAUUCUACACCCUGGGAGUCCGUGGAAGCCCCUGGAGAAAGAUCCUCCGUCUUGCGAAGAGAGUGGAAACCACGGCAGAAGCUCUCAACAUUAAAUUAAAGUCGAUUCUGAUAAGUUCAAAUAAUAUUGUCAUCACUAGAGCAACUCUGAAAAAAAUUCAAAGAUAUAUAGCUAACUACUCAGUAGUGGGGUUAAAAAGAUAC
rnacentral:lncRNA from 1 species